rnacentral:rRNA from 1 species
CAGUCGCCGCGGGAAUACGUAGGUGGCAAGCGUUGUCCGGAAUUAUUGGGCGUAAAGCGCGCGCAGGUGGUUUAAUAAGUCUGAUGUGAAAGCCCACGGCUCAACCGUGGAGGGUCAUUGGAAACUGUUAAACUUGAGUGCAGGAGAGAAAAGUGGAAUUCCUAGUGUAGCGGUGAAAUGCGCAGAGAUUAGGAGGAACACCAGUGGCGAAGGCGGCUUUUUGGCCUGUAACUGACACUGAGGCGCGAAAGCGUGGUGAGCAAACAGGAUUAGAUACCCCCGUAGUCCCUGUCUCUUAUAU